UACGGGGGGAGCAAGCGUUGUUCGGAUUUACUGGGCGUAAAGGGCGCGUAGGCGGCCUGUGCAAGUCAGUUGUGAAAUCUCCGGGCUUAACUCGGAACGGUCAACUGAUACUGCUCGGCUAGAGUGCGGAAGGGGCAACUGGAAUUCUUGGUGUAGCGGUGAAAUGCGUAGAUAUCAAGAGGAACACCUGCGGCGAAGGCGGGUUGCUGGGCCGACACUGACGCUGAAGCGCGAAAGCUAGGGGAGCGAACGGG
rnacentral:rRNA from 1 species